rnacentral:rRNA from 1 species
ACGCACGCUGGCGGCGUGCUUAACACCUGCCAGUCGAACGGAAAGGCCCUGCUUUUGUGGGGUGCUCGAGUGGCGAACGGGUGAGUAACACGUGAGUAACCUGCCCUUGACUUUGGGAUAACUUCAGGAGACUGGGGCUAAUACCGGAUAGGAGCUCCUGCUGCAUGGUGGGGGUUGGAAAGUUUCGGCGGUUGGGGAUGGACUCGCGGCUUAUCAGCUUGUUGGUGGGGUAGUGGCUUACCAAGGCUUUGACGGGUAGCCGGCCUGAGAGGGUGACCGGCCACAUUGGGACUGAGAUACGGCCCAGACUCCUACGGGAGGCAGCAGUGGGGAAUAUUGCACAAUGGGCGGAAGCCUGAUGCAGCAACGCCGCGUGCGGGAUGACGGCCUUCGGGUUGUAAACCGCUUUCGCCUGUGACGAAGCGUGAGUGACGGUAAUGGGUAAAGAAGCACCGGCUAACUACGUG